GCCCAUCCCAUGUGUUCCCUGUUAAUAAGCAUGUAGGGGUGUAUAUAAAAAAAUACCCCUCUCUGUCUCAUUAGAGAUAUCUUUGCCAGAAGCUCAAGGAAGCAAGGUGAAUGGUUAAUGUAGGACCCACCUAAGAGGUUUGCCUUGACGUGGCAGGUGGGCAUUCCCUCUCAUGGCCAUUGGAGUAACUAAAUACUACUCCAUACUAAUUUGCCCCUUUCUUACGCAAGACACUACUAAGGAGCUUGUCCAUAGUUACAUAGUUAUGUAGCUGAAAAGAGACAGCUCCACCUAUUUGUUGUGUAUUAUAUGAAAAGAGACUUGCGUCCAUCAAG